rnacentral:lncRNA from 1 species
CAUCCACCGGUGUUCCUGGAAGACUAAGUCUUUGUUUAUCUAAGAACCAAAUUCCCAACAAAAAGACAAGGCGGCCGCCAGCAGCAGCCUUAGCUUCCAUGGAAAAGCUUCAGAGGCUUAAUUGGCAAAACGAGCACGAUGUUGUGGUUGACAGAAGAUAGAGAGCACAAAUGAACAUAUACACCCAGUCACCCAGACCCAGGAAAAUGAUUGUGUAUGAUCAGUUUUGUGCUCUCUUUUCUUCUGCCAACAUAUUAUAUAUAUUAUGAUCUUCCUGCAGUUCCAGUUCCAGAAAUAUGCAGAUAUGCCCUUCGUUACCGAUGCUAUAUAUUCUUCUUAUAUAAUAUGAUCUUCCAAAGAAGGUAAGAGUUAGUGAUUACAUGUAUAUAUAUAUAUAUAUAGUCUCAUGAUCUUAGUGAUUACAUGUAUAUAUAAGCUCAGAUUAAUUGCACGGAGCAGCAAUUCUUUCUUGGCUCAAGCUCAAGGUACGCAAUCAGAUAUUGGAAUUUUAUUUGUCUAGCUGCUUGUGCUUUGUGGUCACCUUUAACAUUGAACAUGUACAUGUAAUGACCGUAUGCUUACCCAAAAAGCUAGAGAAAUUAAUUUUAAGGUGAAGCAUGCGACUAGCUAGCUUAACAUGAC